ACGUAGGGGGCGAGCGUUACUCGGAUUUAUUGGGCGUAAAGCGAAUGUAGGCGGUUUCAUAAGUCAGAGGUGAAAUCCCUCAGCUCAACUGAGGAAUAGCCUUUGAUACUAUGAGACUUGAGGACAGGAGAGGAAAGUGGAAUUCCCGGUGUAGCGGUGGAAUGCGUAGAUAUCGGGAGGAACACCAGAGGCGAAGGCGGCUUUCUGGACUGAUCCUGACGCUGAGAUUCGAAAGCUAGGGGAGCAAACAGGAUUAGAUACCCUGGUAGUCCUAGCUGUAAACGAUGGAUACUAGAUCUUGCCUGAAGGGCUUGGUCGUAGCUAACGCGUUAAGUAUCCCGCCUGGGGAGUACGGUCGCAAGGCUG
rnacentral:rRNA from 1 species